rnacentral:misc_RNA from 1 species
GUGAAUCAUCGAAUUUUUGAACGCAUAUUGCACUCUCUGGUAUUCCGGAGAGUAUGCCUAUUUGAGGGUCAUUUGAAAUAAUAUAAAUUCUAAUAUUUCUUGGUAUUUAAAAUGGGUUGUAUUUUUUUUGUGGUCGCUUAAUAUACAAGACAUGAUAAUUUUCUUUGGUUUUGUCAUACUUUCAGUUACCUUGUUACUUAACUUGGAAUCAUAGGAUGUUUUAUGAAUUUUGCAUGAGUUAACA